rnacentral:rRNA from 1 species
UACAGAGGUCUCGAGCGUUGUUCGGAUUCAUUGGGCGUAAAGGGUGCGUAGGUGGCGCCGUAAGUCGGGUGUGAAAUUUCGGAGCUUAACUCCGAAACUGCAUUCGAUACUGCGGUGCUUGAGGACUGGAGAGGAGACUGGAAUUCAUGGUGUAGCAGUGAAAUGCGUAGAGAUCAGGAAGAACAUCGGUGGCGAAGGCGCUCUGCUGGACCAUAACUGACACUCAGGGACGAAAGCUAGGGGAGCGAAUGGG